GACGAACGCUGGCGGCGUGCUUAACACAUGCAAGUCGAGCGGUAAGGCCCUUUCGGGGGUACACGAGCGGCGAACGGGUGAGUAACACGUGAGCAAUCUGCCCUUCACUUCGGGAUAACUACCGGAAACGGUGGCUAAUACCGGAUACGACCUCUUCGGGCAUCCGAUGGUGGUGGAAAGUUUUUCGGUGGGGAUGAGCUCGCGGCCUAUCAGCCUGUUGGUGGGGUAAUGGCCUACCAAGGCGACGACGGGUAGCCGGCCUGAGAGGGUGACCGGCCACACUGGGACUGAGACACGGCCCAGACUCCUACGGGAGGCAGCAGUGGGGAAUAUUGGACAAUGGGCGGAAGCCUGAUCCAGCAACGCCGCGUGAGGGAUGACGGCCUUCGGGUUGUAAACCUCUUUCAGAUCCGACGAAGCGAGAGUGACGGUAGGGGCAGAAGAAGCACCGGCCAACUACGUGCCAGCAGCCGCCGUAACAC
rnacentral:rRNA from 1 species